CCUACGGGAGGCAGCAGUGAGGAAUAUUGGUCAAUGGACGAGAGUCUGAACCAGCCAAGUAGCGUGAAGGAUGACUGCCCUAUGGGUUGUAAACUUCUUUUAUAAAGGAAUAAAACGAGGCACGUGUGCCUUUUUUCAUGUACUUUAUGCAUAAGGAUCGGCUAACUCCGUGCCAGCAGCCGCGGUAAUACGGAGGAUCCGAGCGUUAUCCGGAUUUAUUGGGUUUAAAGGGAGCGUAGAUGGGUUGUUAAGUCCGUUGUGAAAGUUUGCGGCUCAACCGUAAAAUUGCAAUUGAUACUGGCAGUCUUGAGUACAGUUGAGGUAGGCGGAAUUCGUGGUGUAGCGGUGAAAUGCUUAGAUAUCACGAAGAACCCCGAUUGCGAAGGCAGCUUACUAAACUGUGACUGACAUUGAUGCUCGAAAGUGUGGGUAUCAAACAGGAUUAGAUACCCCAGUAGUC
rnacentral:rRNA from 1 species